AUGUCUUAUCCUCAAAAUGUUCGAUCUGGCUCCUCCUGUCCCCGAACUUCCGCGCGAUAUCGGGCUCCUAUAUUUUUGUAUUUUCAAAACAGUCCUUUUUCCUUUUCUCCUCUCGCUGAUUCUUCGCUCUCCCCCCUUCCUUUCGGAUUAACCACCCUGAAGCCCAUUCAGCACAAGGCCCAUCUGAGCCCAUUCCCCAUUCCCAAACCCUCACCCCCCCUCCCCCCCCCUCCGCCGGCAUCGAACCGCCGGAGCGGCCGCGCCACCAUGCACCGCCUCCUCCCUCCUCGCGGCUGCCUGCUCCGACGCCUGUCCACGGCCGCCGAGACCUCCGCAGCCUUGCCCCAUCCACCGCGGCGCCCGCUGGCCGACUCACUCUACCGCCGCGUCACUGCCGUAUGGAACCCGAACCUCCCGCUGACUCCCGUGCUGGAGCAAUGGGCGGUCACGGAGGGCCGGGCCGUCGAGAAGAACAACCUCAUGUGCAUCGUCAAGAAGCUCGUCCGCCUCCGCCGCUUCUCCCACGCGCUCGAGCUGUCAAUGUGGAUGACCGACCGGCGGUACAUGUACCUGUCGCCUGGCGACGUCGCGUACCGGCUGGAGCUGAUCAGCAAGGUGCAAGGCCUCGAGAGUGCCGUGAACUACUGGAAGAGCUUGUCGAUCCAGGUGAAGAAAUCUCAUUGCUACGGAUCCCUCCUGAAAUGCUAUGCGGAGGCAAAGUCCGUCGACGAGGCCGAAAAGCUCUUCGCGGAGAUGCAGGACUUGGGAAUGAUGAGAUCAUAUCCUUACAAUGUGAUGAUGAAGCUUUACUGGGAGACCGGGCAGGUUGAGAGGGUGCACACCAUGUACAGGACCAUGGAAGAGAGCGGCAUCAAGCCUGAUGUGUUCAGUAUCAACAUUCUGUUGACGGUGCUUGCAGCUGCUGGGAAUUUUGAUGGCAUUGAGGAAAUUAUCAAGAAGGUCGACCCGAAGAUCGUGAAUUGGCACUCACAUGCCAUUGUAGCCAGGGCUUUCAUGGAAGCCGGGCAGCAAGGAAAGGCCUUGCGAGCUAUCCAGGAAUCAGAAAAGCAGAUAGGUCGGAAGGAUGAGAGGGUUGCAUAUGGGUUCUUGCUUUCCAUGUUUGCUGAUUUGGGAAUGAGUAGUGAGGCAGACCGGGUUUGGAAUGUCUACAAGUCCAAAGUGCCGGUAUGCAACUCGAUGUACAUGUGCAGGAUAAGUGGGCUGCUUAAGAUGAAUGACAUUGAUAGUGCUGAGAAAGCCUUUAGAGAGUGGGAAAGUAGGUAUGUUCACCAUGAUAUCCACUUAACAAACUUACUGAUAAAUGCUUACUGCGCCAAAGGUCUUAUGGAGAAGGCAGAAGCUCUCCUGGAUGAAGCUAUCGCCAAAGGGAGGACACCUCACCGUGGUACUUGGUAUAGGUUGGCUAGUGGAUUUUUCCAGGACGGCCAGGUGUCGAAGGCGGUGGAUAUGACAAGGAAAGCUCUUGCUUGUGCGUCUUCUCGAUGGGAACCUGACCUAACAAAUGUGCUAAUGAGCCUGGAACAUUUCAUGGAGCAAAAGAAUGUUGAAGCAGCCGAGGAGAUGGCAAGCAUGCUACGGAAUUUAGUACCUUUGACAAGGGAUGUUUACCACAUUUUACUGGAGACAUAUGUUCAUGCAGGACAACCAGUGUCAGAUUUACUUGAUCGCAUGAAAAAAGAUGGUUUUGAGGCUGAUGAAGAAACAGAUAAAAUCAUCGCUGGAAUAUGCCAGUAG
rnacentral:rRNA from 1 species